rnacentral:rRNA from 1 species
ACGAACGCUGGCGGCGUGCCUAAUACAUGCAAGUCGAACGCUUCUUUUUCCACCGGAGCUUGCUCCACCGGAAAAAGAGGAGUGGCGAACGGGUGAGUAACACGUGGGUAACCUGCCCAUCAGAAGGGGAUAACACUUGGAAACAGGUGCUAAUACCGUAUAACAAUCGAAACCGCAUGGUUUUGAUUUGAAAGGCGCUUUCGGGUGUCGCUGAUGGAUGGACCCGCGGUGCAUUAGCUAGUUGGUGAGGUAACGGCUCACCAAGGCGACGAUGCAUAGCCGACCUGAGAGGGUGAUCGGCCACAUUGGGACUGAGACACGGCCCAAACUCCUACGGGAGGCAGCAGUAGGGAAUCUUCGGCAAUGGACGAAAGUCUGACCGAGCAACGCCGCGUGAGUGAAGAAGGUUUUCGGAUCGUAAAACUCUGUUGUUAGAGAAGAACAAGGAUGAGAGUAACUGUUCAUCCCUUGACGGUAUCUAACCAGAAAGCCACGGCUAACUACGUGCCAGCAGCCGCGGUAAUACGUAGGUGGCAAGCGUUGUCCGGAUUUAUUGGGCGUAAAGCGAGCGCAGGCGGUUUCUUAAGUCUGAUGUGAAAGCCCCCGGCUCAACCGGGGAGGGUCAUUGGAAACUGGGAGACUUGAGUGCAGAAGAGGAGAGUGGAAUUCCAUGUGUAGCGGUGAAAUGCGUAGAUAUAUGGAGGAACACCAGUGGCGAAGGCGGCUCUCUGGUCUGUAACUGACGCUGAGGCUCGAAAGCGUGGGGGGCAAACAGGAUUAGAUACCCUGGUAGUCCACGCCGUAAACGAUGAGUGCUAAGUGUUGGAGGGUUUCCGCCCUUCAGUGCUGCAGCUAACGCAUUAAGCACUCCGCCUGGGGAGUACGACCGCAAGGUUGAAACUCAAAGGAAUUGACGGGGGCCCGCACAAGCGGUGGAGCAUGUGGUUUAAUUCGAAGCAACGCGAAGAACCUUACCAGGUCUUGACAUCCUUUGACCACUCUAGAGAUAGAGCUUCCCCUUCGGGGGCAAAGUGACAGGUGGUGCAUGGUUGUCGUCAGCUCGUGUCGUGAGAUGUUGGGUUAAGUCCCGCAACGAGCGCAACCCUUAUUGUUAGUUGCCAUCAUUUAGUUGGGCACUCUAGCAAGACUGCCGGUGACAAACCGGAGGAAGGUGGGGAUGACGUCAAAUCAUCAUGCCCCUUAUGACCUGGGCUACACACGUGCUACAAUGGGAAGUACAACGAGUCGCAAAGUCGCGAGGCUAAGCUAAUCUCUUAAAGCUUCUCUCAGUUCGGAUUGUAGGCUGCAACUCGCCUACAUGAAGCCGGAAUCGCUAGUAAUCGCGGAUCAGCACGCCGCGGUGAAUACGUUCCCGGGCCUUGUACACACCGCCCGUCACACCACGAGAGUUUGUAACACCCGAAGUCGGUGAGGUAACCUUUUGGAGCCAGCCGCCUAAGGUGGGAUAGAUGAUUGGGGUG